rnacentral:lncRNA from 1 species
AUUCAGGCAGAGCUUUCCACCACAGGAGGAAGAACACCCAGGUUAUACUGCAGCAAGAGCUGACAAAUGAGCAACUUGCUAGAGAGUGAACAGUGUCUGGGGGCAGGGGAGGGAAGGAAAAAGGAGGUGAUAUCAAGAUGGGAACAGAGCAGCCAACCCUGGUAGUCAGUGAGAUGAGCAGACUUAGAAAAGGAAACAAGCCAGGUGCAGCUGAAAAGCAGAGCUUUCUGGAGCUCGGUGGAGGAGCACUUACCUAGUAAGCUGGGUUCGAUUCCCAGCACUGCACAACAAGAAACUGUACACGAUGCAGCAAAGCUACUGUGCUGAUGCAGAAGAGAGACAGUGGUGCCUAAAGCCAGCUCCCAUCAGUGUCCUGCCUGCUCAAAGGUAUUUCAGACCUAAAGAAUAGAUGAUGGAGUCAGAGUCAACCAGAGCUAAUUCUUCAUGAUGAGUCGUUACUCGGAAGACCAGCUGAUGGCUCCAGUUGCAAAGAAGAGGACCCCACCACGAAGACUAUACUGCAGCAACACCUGCCUUAUUGAAACUCCGGUCCCUAACCUGCUGAUGUCUGUAUAAGUAACUUUGUCUUUAUAGUACUCUAGAACUUUCCACAGGAGUUGGGCUAGAUCCAGUUCUUUCCCAGGUGAGUCUUUCCCUCUACUGAGCUGCCUUGGUACCCACAAAGUGUCUCUAUCUCCACACUGAUAGGAACUGGAAAAGCCCAGUUUCUGCUUUUAAGGAGUCACUCGGGCUUAAUAUCUAAGGUAUACUUUCUGCUAAGCCACGCGGAUGAUAUUUGUGUUUCUGCUAUACUUUUGUCAUGGGCAUCAUCGCAAACGCUGCUUUGCGUUUUCUGAGUCCUGUGGAAAUGUUCUCCGCUAGUGUUUUAGUUAUGAAUUGUAAUACUCAUUUAAAAACUUGAUUCUUUUGUGCUUUGUCGACUAAAGGAAAGACCUUCUGAAAGCUUAAGGGGGAAAUAGAAAUGAGAAGGCUAAGACGAGCUAAGGACAGUGCAAAGGGAUGAAAAUGUCAUAAUGAAAUCCAUUAUUUUAUCCACUCACUCUUCAACACAAGGGUCCAGAACAAGUGAGGAUAUGGAGUGUGUGAGUGCGAGCCCUCUCCCGUCCUCAUGUCCACUGACUCCUCCUGCGUCCACUGGCUUCUCAGGCUUAAAUUACUCAGAGUUUGUUAGUAACAUUGCUCUUCCGAGGUUGGAAAGCCUGGAGCCCCCCUCACGUUGGAGCUUUAGAGAAAAAGAAUAGAGGAAUGUUCCCGGGCCUCUGUGAGCCCAGCCUCUCUCGGCCUCUCUGCCCUUGCUCUCUGCUCAGGUGCGGCGAGCUGUUGAGGAGACUGUGACUCCCAUAGCUCAGAAAGCUCUUCCUCUGCCUUCAUAAGCCCAACACUGCAGCCUUCGAGCCCUUGGCCUUAUUCACAAGAAUUCCAGAGGACAUUCUGUGACUCGUGCCAAGACUGGCCAGUGACCCCCACUUCCAGUUUAUGCUCUUGAGCAGCGGAAUGGGGGAUCUGCUAUUUGACAGCUAUUUAGAAACAAUCUAUCCAUGCCUGGACCCCACCUCCUGAAUUUCCAGUCCAGUGGCUUCAAAAGUCUGUCCUUCACAGGGGGUGUAGCUCCUGAAGACCCAUUGAGUAGUCUGAUCCUGGGGUAGCCCUAGAUCUGUGUAGCCCCUUCAAUGGUGCCAAGGAACAGAAAUGCCCAGCAUAGGGGAACUGAGGACACCACCUUGCAGUCUGUACACAUUGCCAAGGACAGGAGACACCUCUUCAUACUUAGUGUAUGAGGCCUGGAGUCAGUAUGGUCUCAGACGCGGGGCAGGCAGCCUCUCCUCAACUCGCCUUGGUGUACUUGUGUGUAAGAUCCAACUUUGUAAGCUGCUGGGAAAAGUUCAGGGUUCCUCAAACAGCACAGAGCCUGGCACCAAAUGAGUGAUUAGGCCACACUCGCGGCUGCAUUGGUGCUCCCUGAGCAGUGUCUGGGGCCGCAGGGUUGUUGAUGCAACUUGCAACUAACAACAUUAUAGUAGAUAAAGUAUGCAGGGAUCCUCUAGCAGCCCGUGUGCUCUGCCCCCCUGCAACAGUGCCAGCCUGGACUGUGAGGAUACCGAUGCCAUGGUGCAGAGCAGGCUCCACACAUGGGAGCCCACCAAAGUGGUGGUCCCACUGGGCUAUGUGAUUUGGACUUAAACUUCUCCUUUGAUGAGACCUACCUAUGAUCUGUCAGCCGUGAAGUCUCGAUGUUUCCGUCAGUCUCCUACCUUUUCUGCCUUUUCUUGCCCUAACAACCAUGAUGAUCCGGUGACUCUCCUCGCUUCACUGAAAGCCCCAGAGGAGUCCAGUCAGUGGUGGGAACAUCACAAGGACAAGCUGUGAAGCAAUCUGGAUUUGGCAAAACACAAGGAUCCACUUAGCAUCUGUCUUCUUGGCUUUCAAGUAAGAUUUCAGGCUGGUUCUAAACGGUGACAUUUGGCCUACAGAGGUAGUAUGACAGGAAAAGCAGGAGAGGCUUUCGCCCGGAUUGACUGGCGUGUUCCCAGCACUGUGGAGUGACCUCGAAUCCUGCACACCAUUUCUUUCCCACCGUGGAUAAGAGGCCAUUCUUUUUGCUCGUUCGCCUGUGGCCGCUGGUUGAUGUCUAGCCAAUGCAGCAGGACGCUUCCUUACUCCAGAUGGGUCUGAGUCCAAGAAAUGCAGUUCUGUGUUUAUCCAGGCUCGGAGAGUUGAGGAAAAGCCCCGGAGCAAAUGUACAGUUUCUAUUUCCCCCGUGUCUGUGCAGAGACGGGAUCUCUGAUUUCUCAGCAGCAGGACAAGCCUGGGGCAAAACUCAGUUCUGUGCAGGAACCUGCUCUUCUAAACCUGAAAGACCUUACCAUCCACCGCUCCAUCCACCUUCCCUGUGGAGGUGUUCUUACUCCUUGUCCCAUAUGUCCCCUCUCCUGAAUGUGACCUGAGUGGCCCUGGGAAAGCAAAAUCAUUCUUACUGUGACUUUAUGUCAAAUUUAACCUGGAGUUGGUGAGAUGGCUCAGUGGGUAUGGGAAAUGACCGUCAAGCCUGUUGGGUGACCUGAGUCUGAGCCCCAGACCCCACGUGGUGGGAGGAAAAAGCCAACACCCACAUGUUGUUCUCUGACCUCCACGCGUGCACACAUGUGUGCAUGAGCCCUCCUCCACCACACACAAUAAAUCAAUGAAAUG